rnacentral:rRNA from 1 species
AGGCGGCGACGCGGAGCGAAUCCCAAAAAUACGCGCCCCACGUUCGGAUUGUAGUCUGCAACCCGACUACAUGAAGCCGGAAUCGCUAGUAAUCGCGGAUCAGAAUGCCGCGGUGAAUACGUUCCCGGGUCUUGUACACACCGCCCGUCACACCAUGGGAGUCGGGAAUGCCCGAAGUCAGUGACCCAACCUUAGGGAGGGAGCUGCCGAAGGCAGGCCUGGUGACUGGGGUGAAGUCGUAACAAGGUAUC